GCACAGGGACAGGUGGAGAUCCUUCAUCUUUGUCAUACCAGGUAGGUGGAUGAAACUCAAGCCAUUCUGAAUCACAGGGAUGGUAGUGAACACAUUAACACUUGAGCACAGCACAGCAAAUUAUUUUGGUGUAUGUGGAUGAUUAUUAUGAUUAGGGCUGGGUGAUAUAAACUAUAUAAACACUGAUGGAAAAUGAUUGAUUGAUGAUGAAGAUAUUUCUCACCAAUUAUAUGGCAGUGUCAUAGUUAGCCACAUCUCUCCUCCUAUCCUUGUGUACUCUAGUGUUGUUCUCCCCUCCCUGUGUUCCUUGUCAGUCCUCUGUCCGUCUCUUGGUGUGCAUGUGUGUGUGUAUAUGUGUGUGUGUACGUGCCUGGGCGGGGCGCUCUGGUUUCCCCUCCUGCUGAGGAUCACCCAAUGAACUCCCAAAGUAUAUCUACCUGGCUCUACCAUGUAACCGGCACCAGAUCGUCUCAGAACACCAUUACUACCUGCCGGUGAUCGCAGCCACCUUGUCCUCUCCGAUCUCUGCAAACUGCCUUUCCUGUUCUGCCUGCCAUGCUGCACCAGCCAUCUCCAGAACCCACUCUCACCAUCUCCGCCCCUGAGCCCAGAUGGUUCUCCACGGACCGUGUAGGCAAACCUCACUACCGGCUCCAGCAAACUACGCCUGACUCGUCCGCUCUGGAAGAGCGUUCAUCGACCAGUGAUUGUUUACUGUGUUACAAUAAAGACUGUUAAAACCA